GUUUGGACUGGUUGCAUUGUUGCAGACUGCUAAUGCUGAUCUUGACAAAUCUCUUGCAGCAGUGCAGUGAAACCUUGAAAUAGAGGUUAAACUAGUGGCUGAACUAAGACAGCAAAUUGCAUUUAAAGAGUCGGUUCAUGAAGAGCUCAAAAGGAGCACGAGCAAUCUUCAUCAAGCUGUAGCUUCACAAAAUCAAAUGUCUUCAAAAGGAGUUGAGUUUUGAAAGAAAAAUUC